rnacentral:rRNA from 1 species
GUGCCAGCCGCCGCGGUAAUACGUAGGGUGCAAGCGUUAAUCGGAAUUACUGGGCGUAAAGCGUGCGCAGGCGGUUUUGUAAGUCUGACGUGAAAUCCCCGGGCUCAACCUGGGAAUUGCGUUGGAGACUGCAAGGCUGGAGUCUGGCAGAGGGGGGUAGAAUUCCACGUGUAGCAGUGAAAUGCGUAGAGAUGUGGAGGAACACCGAUGGCGAAGGCAGCCCCCUGGGUCAAGACUGACGCUCAUGCACGAAAGCGUGGGGAGCAAACAGGAUUAGAAACCCGUGUAGUCC